rnacentral:lncRNA from 1 species
AGCCUAUAGUAAUGCAACUUUUCACAAUGAUGAAUAGUCUUAAUAUUGCAACAAAGUAACCAUACUUUGUCACCUACAUUGAAUUAUGAUUAUUCUUUGUGAUGGGAAUUUACAUUAAUCUUUUGUUAUUUUUGAGCUGACUUUAAUUACACCUUUAUUGUUAUAUGUAGCUCUAACAAACAAUUUGUAAAAUCUUUUGCCUUAUAAUUAUCAACUUUUAAAAAGUAAAAAGUAUCAAGUUGUAGAUGAUAACCAUAAUUGGCAAAGAAAGGUGUUUGUUGAGUGGAUGAAUGUAUUGAAUUAUUGUACGCAAACUUUGUCAAUGAUAAAAGAAUUGUCUAAUCAUCUUGAUGAUAAUUGAUGAUACACC